GAGUCUUGCUUUCAUGUGUGUCAGGGU
rnacentral:piRNA from 1 species